GCGGGGCCGAGGGAAGUGGGGGGUGCGGAAGGGGCGGGGCCGAGGGAGGGUAGAGACGGAAGGGGCGGGGCCAAGGGUGGCUGGUAGGGAAGGGGUCUCUAUGGGGUCUCUAUGGGUCCCUAUGGUUCAAUAUGGGUCCCUAUGGGUUUUUAUUGGUCUCUAUGGGUCUCUAUGGGUUUUCAUUGUUUUCUAUGGGUUUCUAUGGGUCUCUGUGGGUUCCUAUGGGUUUUUAUUGGUCCCUAUGGGUCUCUAUGGGUUUUUAUUGGUCUCUGUAGGUUUUUAUUGGUCUCUAUGGGUCCCUAUGGGUUUUCAUUGGUCUCUAUGGGUCCCUACGUGUCUCUGUAUGUCCCUAUGGGUCCCUAUGGGUCUUUAUGGGUCCCUAUGGGGCUCUAUAGGGUCUCUAUGGGUACCUAUGGGUCGCUAUGGGUCUCUAUGGGGCUCUGUGGGGUGUCUAUGGGUCCCUAUGGGUCGCUAUGGGUCCCUAUGGGUCUCUAUGGGUCCCUAUGGGGCUCUAUGGGUCGCUAUGGGUCUCUAUGGGUCCCUAUGGGUCUCUAUGGGGUCUCUAUGGGUCCCUAUGGGUCGCUAUGGGGCUCUAUGGGGUCUCUAUGGGUCGCUAUGGGUCUCUAUGGGUCCCUAUGGGUCUCUAUGGGGUCUCUAUGGGUCCCUAUGGGUCGCUAUGGGGCUCUAUGGGGUCUCUAUGGGUCCCUAUGGGUCUCUAUGGGUCCCUAUGGGGUCUCUAUGUGCCCCUAUGGUUCAAUAUGGGUCCCUAUGUGUCUCUAUGGGUCCCUAUGGGGCUCUAUGGGGCUCUGUGGGGUGUCUAUGGGUCUCUAUGUGUCUCUAUGGGUCCCUAUGGGUCGCUAUGGGGUCUCUAUGGGUCGCUAUGGGUCUCUAUGGGUCCCUAUGGGGCUCUAUGGGUCGCUAUGGGUCUCUAUGUGCCCCUAUGGUUCAAUAUGUGUCCCUAUGGGUCUCUGUGGGUCCCCAUGGGUUUUUAUUGUUCUCUAUGGGUCUCUAUGGGUCUCUAUGGGUCCCUAUGGGUCGCUAUGGGUCUCUAUGGGUCCCUAUGGGGUCUCUAUGGGUCCCUAUGGGGCUCUGUGGGGUCCCUAUGGGUCUCUAUGGGGUCUCUAUGGGUCCCUAUGUGUCUCUAUGGGUCCCUGUGGGUCGCUAUGGGUCUCUAUGGGUUUUUAUUGGUCCCUAUGGGUCCCUCUGGGCUUCUAUUGUUCCGUGUGGGUCGCUGUGGGUCGCAGGGAGGCGUGGUUCGAGCAGAACCGUGGGGCAGCACUGCAGGGUGUGGGGCUGGCGGCCAGCGCGGGGCCAGGAGCCAUGAUGCAGCUCAAGGUGACGGCGCUGAUGGGGGCUGAGCUGUGUGUAAGUG
rnacentral:lncRNA from 1 species